rnacentral:rRNA from 1 species
UACGUAGGGGGCAAGCGUUGUCCGGAAUCAUUGGGCGUAAAGCGCGUGUAGGCGGCUUGGUAAGUCCGCUCUGAAAGCCCGGGGCUCAACCCCGGGAGGCGGGUGGAUACUGUCAAGCUCGAGUCCGGAAGAGGCGAGUGGAAUUCCCGGUGUAGCGGUGAAAUGCGCAGAUAUCGGGAGGAACACCAAUGGCGAAGGCAGCUCGCUGGGACGUGACUGACGCUGAGACGCGAAAGCGUGGGGAGCAACAGG